rnacentral:sRNA from 1 species
CUCUAGCCCUGAUAGUAGCGGCAUCCUUUUUAAAUAUUUGUCACCUAAGUGCAAAUGUUUAAAAAGAUAUAGCGGAUAGCAGGAAAUAGC